UCCCUGGUAGUAUAGUGGUUAAGAUUUGGCACUGUCACCACCAUGGCCCAGGUUCAAUCCCUGGUCUGGGAA
rnacentral:tRNA from 1 species